AAACAUACACACUCCACCCACUACUACAAUGCCCACUACUCUCUCUCUCUCUCUCUUACUAUUCUCUUUCUGCUACAAACGACGAUUCACUCCUCGCUGGCGAGAUUCCCUCUCUGUCCUUCGCUCGUCCCUUUUCCUUUCCGUUUUCUCUCUCCGCCUCUCCCUACCUCAAUUUUCCCGAGAAACAAACGCUCUACUGCCUACUCUACUCUAUCUCACCUUCUCUAUCAUGUUGUCUCUUUUCUUUUCAUCUUCUUAUAACAUCAUAAUUCCUCCUACAUACCGUUGUGAUUUUAAAUAAUAUAGCGAAAUCCCAACUUCCUUUAUAAUUUAUUUAAUUAUUUAAGGCUUUUUUUUUUUACCAUACAUGGGUUGUGCCACUUCCAAGCUCGACGAUCUUCCGGCGGUGGCCCUCUGCCGGGACCGCUGUGCUUUUCUUGAUGAAGCUAUUAACCAGCGGUAUGCUCUUGCUGAAGCGCACAAUGCUUAUAUUUACUCUUUGAGAAUGAUUGGUGCUUCUUUGCAUCAUUUUAUAGAACAGGAUUGUGCUGCUUCUGGAUUUGUUCCUUUAUCUCCUCAGCUCAAUUUGCCUCCUCAAAGAAAAGGGGAUCCGGUUGCUCUCACUGAUGAAGGUACCAGUUCACCCAAGAAGGCUAACAUAGCUCACCACUCCCACUCCCACUCCAACUCUGGUUCCCACCUGCACUUCCACUCUGAUUCCGAUGAUGACGACGACGAUGCGUCGCAUCUUCACCAUUCUGAUCGUUCCUCGCCUUUGCACGGCGGUGGCAGUGGAGGCGGAGGUCAUAUCGAGUAUAUGCCUUCUGAAUACAUUGGUAAUGAGCACGAUUCAUAUUCCGGCGGUGGGUUUCUGCACAUGAAUUAUAUGAAGAAUAAAGCCAGCACGCCUUCUGUGGUUUAUGAGCAGAGGCCUAUGACUUCAGAGACUGUUUAUUUCGGUGAAUCUUCUUCUUCUUCUUCUUAUUUUUAUCCCAAUAAUUCCUUACCCCAGUAUUAUGGAUACCCAAAUUAUGGUGCUGCUGACGGUGCAAUGACUGGGUACUACAGUUAUCCCCCGCCGUACGGAUCUUCAUCUAUACCUCAGCCUGCGGCGGCGCCUUCCUCGUCAAAGCCGCCGCCGCCUCCGCCGCCUCCGCCUCCACCUCCGACAGCUUCAACAUGGGAUUUUUUGAAUGUCUUUGGGAGCCAUGAUAAUUACUAUCCUCCUUACACCCCGAGUAGAGACUCAAAGGAGUUGAGGGAAGAGGAGGGAAUUCCUGACUUGGAAGAUGAGGAUCACCAACAAGAGGUCGUUAAGGAGGUCCGCGGACGCGAGAAAUAUGUCGAUGGUGGUGGUGGUGAUGGUGGAGGAGGAGGAGGUAGUGCUAAGGCUAAUAAUCAUUCGAAAUCAGUGAUGAUGGACGAUGGGGAUGCUAUGGCUGGUGGAAAUGCUGAGGCCUCUCUUUAUCAAACAAGACCGAGUGCAUCAAUGGAGAAUGAUGGACCGGAGUAUGAGGUGCAUGUGGUGGAGAAGAAAGUUGAUGAUGAGAGGUCAGAGGAGCAUAGAAAUGCCGGAUUUAAGAGAGGUGGUGGUUUACGGGACGUGUCUCAAGUGGCUUUUGAAAUCAAGAUUCAGUUUGAGAGAGCUUCUGAUUCUGGAAAAGAAAUUGCCCAGAUGCUUGAAGUGGGGAGGCUUCCUUAUCAGCGUAAACAUGUUUCUAAGAUGUUGCAUGUAGUCGUCCCUUCAUUAACUGUAGUAUCCCAACAGCCAUCUACAUCCGGAAGUGCUGAGGCCUCAUCCUCCACUAACAAUGCUGAUCCAGCGUACUUGGAGAUCGAUCAAGAUUUGGUGAUAAGGUCGAAAAAACUUUCUGCUACCUUGCAGAAGCUGCAUCUUUGGGAGAAGAAACUCUAUAAUGAAGUUAAGGCAGAGGAGAAAAUGCGGGUAGUUCAUGAGAGGAAUUGCCGUAAGCUGAAGCGUUUGGAUGAGAGGGGUGCUGAAGUUCAUAAAGUUGAUGCAACUCAGAAAUUAGUUAGGACUCUGUCCACAAAAAUAAGAAUUGCAAUUCAGGUUGUAGACAAAAUAUCUGUUACAAUAAACAGGAUUAGGGAUGAAGAGCUAUGGCCACAGCUGAAUGAAUUAAUUCAGGGAUUAACCAGGAUGUGGAAAAGUAUGCUUGAAUGCCAUCAGUGUCAAUGUGAAGCAAUAAAAGAAGCCAGAGGUUUGGGUUCUGUAGGAUCAAGUAAAAAGCUUGGUGAUGAUCAUCUUCAAGCUACAUUGCGGCUUGAGCGCGACCUUCUUAAUUGGACUUUCAGCUUCUCGAGUUGGAUAGGUGCCCAGAAGGGUUAUGUGAGAGCGUUGAAUAGUUGGCUUGGUAAAUGUCUCUUGUAUGAACCAGAAGAAACACCGGAUGGAAUUGCUCCCUUCUCACCUGGUAGAAUGGGUGCACCUCCUGUGUUUGUAAUCUGUAAUCAGUGGGCACAAUCAAUGGAUGCAAUAUCUGAAAAGGAAGUAAUAAACGCAAUGCGCAUUUUUGCCUCAAGUGUGCUUAAGCUUUGGGAACAGGAUAAACUAGAGAUGCGCCAGAGAAUGAUGACGAAUAAUGAUUUGGAGAGAAAAGUUAGAAAUUUAGAUAGAGAAGAUCAAAGGAUACAUAAGGAGAUUCAAGCAUUAGAAGAGAAAAUUGUUGUUGCUGGGGACAGUUAUAGUCUAUCUGUGACUGGAAAUGUUGUAUAUCAGAGUGAUACUAGCAACAGCAGUUUACAGGGGAGUCUGCAACGCAUUUUUGAGGCCAUGGAGAAGUUCAUGGCUGAGUUGACAAAAGCUUACGAGGAGCUAAUUAAGCGUAGUGAAGAAGAGAGGCUUGCUCAUGAGCAUGAGAGAGUUUCAUAGCAUACUGCUGUAUGGUCCAAUUGAAAUACAUAAUCUUUUUUGCACUUAUGAUUACACUUAUCACAUGGAACUUAUAGUCCAAUGUGAAGUGCAGGAUCUGACACCCUAUUAUAUGCCAUUAAGCUGUUCCCUUCUGCGGUCUUGUAGUGGAGCACUCCCGAUGUUGUUGGUAUAUUCAAUUGUGAGGGUGAUGAGAUGAUUUCAUCUCUUUUCCACCAGCAGCGGCUUUAAUCAUAUUGAUCAAACAAAUUAUGAUUGGUAACAACAUGGAAUUGAUAAGGAGGGGCAAGGGACAUACAAUUACGCCAAUGCAAAACCAACUUUCGACAUUGCAUGUGUUGUUUUGCAGAAUAGGUACUGGAUAGGAUUGGAUUCAAGUCUGGUGAUGUUGAUGAUAACUUGUGGUGCUCGUUAAUGCCCUAUUGGCCAUUGAUUUGCUAUUGAUCCCCAGACUUUCAUGGAAGCGAGGCAGGAUUGAACGUGUCAACAAUUUUGAUCAGGAUGUAUUCAGUUGUAGGUGCAAGGGCUGUCUUGAAUGACGCAAGUCAGAGAACUGCCCAAAUAUCAGAUAUUGUAUGGCUGUUGAAGGCUUGAAGCUGUAGACAUUUCACAGUAUUUUCACAAUUUUGGCUUAUUGUUUGUUAUUGCAGAACCUAUUCUUGGCGACAUCUUGUGUGGAGCCAUUGUUUCCUGCACUGCAUUGCAUGAACUGUGCAGUUCUGGGCAUCUCUGAUAGCCAUGUGGUUCUGUAAUGAUUUUACAUUGGUCUGUUAUGGUUGGUAACAUGCUUAAUCUACAGUGCGCAGUGGUAUUUUCAUCUUCUUUUGAGAUGGAUUGAAAUAGCAACAUUUAUACUAGUGAUUAAGGUGAAAUUUUGAAUACAAGUACACCAAAACUGCAAAGACAUGCAAAUUCUAAGCCUUCCACUCAAAAAACUGAAGGCAAUGCCAAAAAAAAAAAGCAUGGGCUUUUCUUGCAAUGUUUGAAGGUUGUAAUGGGAUUGUACUGUAUAUUGAUUCGAGAAAAACCCAGUUUCUUUUAUAUACUGGAAGGUUACCUGU